GAUGCUGUGAAGUAAUGAUUAAUUUCAACAAGAUGUGAGACCCUCAUUUAGACAGAUGUAGUGAUACAUAUGAAGGAGAGGAUUUAAACAGGUCCGUUAUGCCCUAAGAUAAUCUGGGUUGCACGCGCAAUACUAAAAUAUUUGAUAUUAUAAGGGAUAAUAUAAUGUAAGAUAUAUUUGAACAUGGAAUUGCUAGUAAAUUUUAUUUAAUAAGUAGAAUUGAAUGAGUCCCUGUUCUUUGUACACACCGCCCGUCGCUAUCUAAGAUGGUAUUAUCUAUGAACAAAUUUAUAACGUGAAUAGAUAGUACUAGAUCUGAUAUAAGUCGUAACAUGGUUGCUGUUGGAGAACCAUUAGCAGGAUCAUAA
rnacentral:ncRNA from 1 species